ACAGCCUGGUGCUCAAACUUGGACGCGGACUGAAAAUAAUGUCGUUACCCGCAGAGGAGAGCGGUCCGGUCACCGACACCGAGACCCGGGACUCCGGUUUGAGUUUGUAAAUUUGUUUUAUCGAGUUUGAUAAACUCCUCGGGCUUGUUUUUGGACUCUUGCGGGUAAUGGCCAGCAGUUGCUGAAGUGUUUUGAUCCAGUCAGUGACAGCCUGCAAACAGCAGGGAGAGCUGUGCAGCGACCACACUGCAUUUGAUUAUGAGCCUUUCUAAGAAGUGAAGGGAAUCUGGGAGCUGAUUUCUUGCUGGGACGAAAGUAAUUUAUACACAGUGUGUGGCGGAUCAAAACCCAAGAAGCCAUGGAGGCCUCACAGGACCUCAACGAACAGAUGGUGAAGAAAUCCCACAGUGAAUCUCAUGUUCCAGACCCUUCCGACGCCAGGUCUAUGGAAAUGCAGGACCUAGCCAGUCCUCAUAACCGUGUGGGAGGUGCAGAUUCGACAGGCUCCAAGCUGGACAAGAACAACCUUGGCAGCCCCUCCAUCACCACCAAUGGAACAGGAGGUGAAAACAUGACAGUUCUAAACACGGCUGAUUGGCUGUUGGGCUGCAGCAGCCCGCCCCCUGCCCCGGGCUCCAAGGACUAUGUGAAAACAGAGCCUAUGAACAACAGCGAUACAGUCACUACGACAGGCGACACAGCACUGGACACAUACGCAGGCUCAGUAAUCACCAGCAGCGGGUACAGCCCACGUUCAGCCCACCAGUACUCCCCUCCCCUCUACCCAUCAAAGCCCUACCCUCACAUUCUCUCCACACCGGCAGCCCCUCCCAUGCCGACGUACGCCGGUCAACCCCAGUUCAGCAGCAUGCAGCAGUCGACCGUCUACACCGCCUACUCCCAGACAGGACAAGCAUAUGGACUGUCCUCAUAUGACCUCGGUGUGAUGCUGCCAGGCAUUAAGACAGAAGGCGGCCUGGCUCAGAGUCAGUCUCCUCUGCAGACAGGCCUCAGCUACAGCCCCGGCUUCACCACACCUCAGCCCGGACAGACUGCAUACUCACCCUAUCAGAUGCCAGGUUCCAGUUUCACUCCUUCCUCAGGCCUCUACGCCACCAACAACUCAGUGUCCAACCCCGCCAACUACACUGCCACACAGCAGGAUUAUCCCUCAUAUACAACGUUUGGCCAAAACCAGUACGCCCAGUAUUAUUCCGCCUCCACUUACGGGACUUAUAUGAGCUCCAACAGCGUAGACGGCACAGGCUCCACGGCGGCCUACCAGCUGCAAGAUCCCGCCCCUGCCAUGACCGGACAGGCGGUUGAACUUCACCCAGGGGACUUUGAUACAGUGCAGAGCCCCUCCACGCCCAUCAAAGAGCUGGAUGACCGAGCCUGCCGGAGUGGGGGGUCCAAGUCCAGGGGCAGGGGCCGCAAGAACAACCCCUCCCCGCCCCCUGAUAGUGACCUGGAGAGGGUGUUUGUGUGGGAUCUGGACGAGACAAUCAUCGUCUUCCACUCUCUGCUCACGGGCUCCUACGCACAGAAAUAUGGCAAGGACCCUCCUAUGGCAGUAACGCUGGGCCUGAGGAUGGAAGAGAUGAUCUUCAAUUUGGCUGACACACACUUGUUCUUUAAUGACUUGGAGGAGUGUGAUCAGGUACAUAUUGAUGAUGUGUCAUCAGACGACAAUGGCCAAGACUUAAGUACUUACAGUUUUGCAACUGAUGGCUUCCAUGCAGCUGCAACCAGCGCCAACCUGUGCCUGGCUACGGGUGUCCGCGGCGGGGUCGACUGGAUGAGGAAACUGGCCUUCCGCUACCGACGAGUCAAAGAAUUGUAUAGCACGUACAAAAACAAUGUGGGGGGCAUGCUGGGUCCUGCUAAAAGAGACGCCUGGCUGCAGCUCAGGGCAGAGGUGGAGGCUCUGACUGACUCCUGGCUCACCCACGCUCUCAAGUCCCUGUCCAUCAUCAGCUCCAGGAGUAACUGUGUAAACGUGUUGGUGACCACAACGCAGCUCAUACCAGCGCUGGCUAAAGUUCUCUUAUAUAGUCUGGGAUCUGUUUUUCCCGUCGAGAACAUUUACAGUGCAACAAAAAUAGGCAAAGAGAGCUGUUUUGAGCGUAUAGUCUCCCGCUUUGGCACUAACAUUACAUAUGUUGUGAUUGGCGAUGGGAAGGAUGAAGAGCAUGCAGCCAGCCAGGAAAAGAGAGUUGCUUUGAACGCAUAAUGCAAAGGUUUGGCAGGAAAGUAGUGUAUGUUGUAAUUGGGGACGGUGUGGAAGAGGAGCAGGCGGCCAAAAAGCACAACAUGCCUUUCUGGAGGAUAUCCAGUCACUCGGACCUGCUGGCACUACACCAAGCACUGGAGUUUGAGUACCUGUAACUAUUAUAGCAAUAUGGACUCAUGCAAUGUUACCGUGGACAUGGUCAGCCAGGCAGCCCCCUUCUUUUGUAUAACUAUUUAAGAACAAACAAUACACUGCAACUGUUUUUUUUUUCUUCCUUUUUGUCGUUUUUAUUUUUGAACGUCUGGAUUUACAAACUCUGAACGGUCUUAAGAAGCAAAAGGAGAGGUGAAAGGAGGUAAAGAACAGAACAGUGGGCUUAAGAAGAGAUGACUCAACUACCCAGCUCUGCCCCUGUGGCCCCAAUGCUGGGACCACACCGCUGUGAAAACCUGUCUACUGUCCCUGCAGCAGUAGCAGACUGAAAGCCUGUAAAGGCUAAAUGCCUCCCUUGUCCUGGGAGGAUGUUUCUUGGGCGACUCCUUGAUGUUUGUUUUGUUCUGGAGCACCCAGACUAGUUUCUGGCCUGUUGUGGGUCACCUGGGACGAACUUUCAAACAACGAGAGCUUCUCUGUACAGGCAUUUUGUGUGCGGGGUUGACAGCUGCUUUUUUUUUUUAUAUAAGUGUUUACUUCCUGGUGGUAUAAUCACAACACAAUCUGCAUCUGUAAAUUAUUUACAAUAAACUUAAAAAAAGGGCAGUGGUGGAUGUUUUUGUGAAGGAAAUCAAUUUUGGGAGUCUGUUUUUUUUCCUCUGGAUUUUUGUAAUUGUUUGGGCGGGGGGAAUUGAGGAUGUGUGUCAUGAUGUGUUGUGCCUUAAUGUGUUUGAAUGUCUUUUCUUUAUUCAGAAAUGUCUAUGUAUGUAGAUAUAAAAAUGAGAAAACUUAUCCAAAUGAACCAUGCAUCUUGUCUUUCCUAAUUACAUUUUAAACUGAUCUUCAGAUUAUAACUAAACAUGUACAGCAGGGGUCACCAACCUUUUUGAAACAGCUACUUCAAGGGUACUGAAUAAU